rnacentral:tRNA from 1 species
GCCUGGGUGGCUUAGUUGGUUAAGUGUCUGACUCUUGAUUUCAGCUUAGGUCAGAAUUUCACGGGUUCGUGAGUUUGAGUCCCACAUCUGGCU